rnacentral:rRNA from 1 species
UGAGGAAUAUUGGGCAAUGCCCGCAAGGGUGACCCAGCAACGCCGCGUGGAGGAUGAAUGUCGUAAGAUUGUAAACUCCUGUUAGAGGGGAAGAAUAGUACCGGUUGGACCGGUAUAUGACUGUACCCUCAGAGAAAGCCCCGGCUAACUACGUGCCAGCAGCCGCGGUAAUACGUAGGGGGCAAGCGUUGUCCGGAUUUACUGGGUGUAAAGGGCGCGCAGGCGGGAUAAAAAGUCAGUGGUGAAAUCCUACAGCUUAACUGUAGAACUGGCUUUUAUACUUUUAUUCAUGAGGUGCGGAGGGAGGGACGGAAAUCCAGGUGGAGUUGGGAAAUACGUAGAUAUCUGGAAGAACCCCCAUUGCGAAGGCGGUCUCUUGGUCCGACACUGACGCUGAGGCGCGAAAGCGUG